CUGUCUUGUCGCCAUGUUUGUGUAUAUAUUUUCGGUUCUGGGUAUCUAGAAGAAUAGCGCCUUCGAGUGGCGGUUUCGAGGGGAGGAGUAUGGAUAACAAAUGUCUCAAGAAAAACAUGCCACAAGAGCUCAGCAGGAAACCAUCCAAGAUUGAUCACAUACCAUAUCAUGACAAUUCUCCAGCUAAGAAGAAAAAGGCACCUGGUAGUAACACAGCAACGUCAGAUUCCUCUGGUUUAUUUGAUGGAGCACUUGCCAGUGCCAAUAAAGAGAUGAACGUGCUGUUUUCCCAGUACUCACAAGCCUUAAGUGAGAGGGCAGCAGGGGAUGCCUCACAGGUCAGACAGCUGGAGGACAUUCUGAUGGAGGCUAGGGGCCUGGAGGCUCAUCUGAAGGAGAAAAAAGACCAUUUGAGACGGACGCUAGCUCUCAUUUCUGACAAACUGCAGAGCUAGACACUGUAUACAGGCUUCACCUACCACAAC